CGCGGGAUGGAGCAGUAGGUCGCUCGUCGGGCUCAUAACCCGAAGGUCAUCGGUUCGAGUCCGGUUCCCGCUA
rnacentral:tRNA from 1 species